GGCAUUGUUGGCAGACUCCUCUACU
rnacentral:misc_RNA from 1 species